rnacentral:rRNA from 1 species
UACGUAGGUGGCAAGCGUUGUCCGGAUUUACUGGGCGUAAAGAGCGCGCAGGCGGCUGGUUAAGUCCGAUGCGAAAGCUCCCGGCUUAACUGGGAAAUUGCAUCGGAAACUGAUCGGCUGGAAGGUGGGAGAGGGUAGCGGAAUUCCCGGUGUAGUGGUGAAAUGCGUAGAUAUCGGGAGGAACACCAGUGGCGAAAGCGGCUACCUGGCCCAUUCUUGACGCUGAGGCGCGAAAGCUAGGGGAGCAAACGGG